UUAUAAGCAAAAUUCAACAUUUUAGAUUCAUUCAUUAAAUGAUGUAUGUGGUCUUUAUUAUAGACCACAUACAUCAUUUAAUGAAUAAAUUUAAAAUAUUGAUUUUUGCUUAUAU
rfam:Medicago truncatula strain A17 chromosome 1, whole genome shotgun sequence.